AUGAAUCGAUUUCCAUCAUUCGAUACCCGUUCCUUAAUUGUGCCAUUUCCAACCACAGUCCAACCCUUUAAGUUAUGUUCAAACCCACUAAGACACACUAUAACCUCAUUCCACAUUAUUACCAACAAAAGUAGUGCCAUCAACAUUCGAACAUUUAAAAUCGGCUUGAAUAACAAACUGAAUCAAAAACUACACUCACAUCUACCAUUAAACCCUUGCAUAUUACAAAAAAAAACAUCACAAUAUCAAAACAUUCUCAAAUUUUGUCAUAUAUUCAACCUAAACACCAAUUUAAAACUCAACCAGAUUUGA